UACGGGGGGAGCAAGCGUUGUUCGGAAUCACUGGGCGUAAAGGGCGCGUAGGCGGUUAGGUCAGUGAGAUGUGAAAGACUCCGGCUCACCCGGAGAGAUGCAUCUCAUACUGCCUAGCUAGAGUACAGCAGAGGAAACGAGAAUUCCAGGUGUAGCGGUGAAAUGCGUAGAUAUCUGGAGGAAUACCGGUGGCGAAGGCGCGUUUCUGGGCUGUUACUGACGCUGAUGCGCGAUAGCCAGGGGAGCAAACGGG
rnacentral:rRNA from 1 species